rnacentral:hammerhead_ribozyme from 1 species
GUACAGCUGACGAGUCCCAAGCGGAACGAAACACGAGUCCCGUAU